rnacentral:rRNA from 1 species
GACGUAGGGGGCCAGCGUUGUUCGGAAUUACUGGGUGUAAAGGGUUCGUAGGCGGUGUGGCAAGUCGGGAGUGAAAUCUCUGGGCUCAACUCAGAGACUGCUUCCGAAACUGCUGUGCUGGAGUGUGGGAGAGGCGCGUGGAAUUGCAGGUGUAGCGGUGAAAUGCGUAGAUAUCUGCAGGAACACCCGUGGCGAAAGCGGCGCGCUGGACCACUACUGACGCUGAGGCGCGAAAGCGUGGGGAGCAAACGGG